UUAAGUUAUUAAGGGCGCACGGUGGAUGCCUUGGCACUAGAAGCCGAUGAAGGACGUUACUAACGACGAUAUGCUUUGGGGAGCUGUAAGUAAGCUUUGAUCCAGAGAUUUCCGAAUGGGGAAACCCAGCAUGAGUUAUGUCAUGUUAUCGAUAUGUGAAUACAUAGCAUAUCAGAAGGCACACCCGGAGAACUGAAACAUCUUAGUACCCGGAGGAAGAGAAAGAAAAUUCGAUUCCCUUAGUAGCGGCGAGCGAAACGGGAAGAGCCCAAACCAAAAAGCUUGCUUGUUGGGGUUGUAGGACACUCUAUACGGAGUUACAAAGGACGACAUUAGACGAAUCAUCUGGAAAGAUGAAUCAAAGAAGGUAAUAAUCCUGUAGUCGAAAAUGUUGUCUCUCUUGAGUGGAUCCUGAGUACGACGGAGCACGUGAAAUUCCGUCGGAAUCUGGGAGGACCAUCUCCUAAGGCUAAAUACUCUCUAGUGACCGAUAGUGAACCAGUACCGUGAGGGAAAGGUGAAAAGCACCCCGGAAGGGGAGUGAAAUAGAACCUGAAACCGUGUGCUUACAAGUAGUCAGAGCCCGUUAAUGGGUGAUGGCGUGCCUUUUGUAGAAUGAACCGGCGAGUUACGAUUUGAUGCAAGGUUAAGCAGUAAAUGUGGAGCCGUAGCGAAAGCGAGUCUGAAUAGGGCGUUUAGUAUUUGGUCGUAGACCCGAAACCAGGUGAUCUACCCUUGGUCAGGUUGAAGUUCAGGUAACACUGAAUGGAGGACCGAACCGACUUACGUUGAAAAGUGAGCGGAUGAACUGAGGGUAGCGGAGAAAUUCCAAUCGAACCUGGAGAUAGCUGGUUCUCUCCGAAAUAGCUUUAGGGCUAGCCUCAAGUGAUGAUUAUUGGAGGUAGAGCACUGUUUGGACGAGGGGCCCCUCUCGGGUUACCGAAUUCAGACAAACUCCGAAUGCCAAUUAAUUUAACUUGGGAGUCAGAACAUGGGUGAUAAGGUCCGUGUUCGAAAGGGAAACAGCCCAGACCACCAGCUAAGGUCCCAAAAUAUAUGUUAAGUGGAAAAGGAUGUGGCGUUGCCCAGACAACUAGGAUGUUGGCUUAGAAGCAGCCAUCAUUUAAAGAGUGCGUAAUAGCUCACUAGUCGAGUGACACUGCGCCGAAAAUGUACCGGGGCUAAACAUAUUACCGAAGCUGUGGAUUGUCCUUUGGACAAUGGUAGGAGAGCGUUCUAAGGGCGUUGAAGCAUGAUCGUAAGGACAUGUGGAGCGCUUAGAAGUGAGAAUGCCGGUGUGAGUAGCGAAAGACGGGUGAGAAUCCCGUCCACCGAUUGACUAAGGUUUCCAGAGGAAGGCUCGUCCGCUCUGGGUUAGUCGGGUCCUAAGCUGAGGCCGACAGGCGUAGGCGAUGGAUAACAGGUUGAUAUUCCUGUACCACCUAUAAUCGUUUUAAUCGAUGGGGGGACGCAGUAGGAUAGGCGAAGCGUGCGAUUGGAUUGCACGUCUAAGCAGUAAGGCUGAGUAUUAGGCAAAUCCGGUACUCGUUAAGGCUGAGCUGUGAUGGGGAGAAGACAUUGUGUCUUCGAGUCGUUGAUUUCACACUGCCGAGAAAAGCCUCUAGAUAGAAAAUAGGUGCCCGUACCGCAAACCGACACAGGUAGUCAAGAUGAGAAUUCUAAGGUGAGCGAGCGAACUCUCGUUAAGGAACUCGGCAAAAUGACCCCGUAACUUCGGGAGAAGGGGUGCUCUUUAGGGUUAACGCCCAGAAGAGCCGCAGUGAAUAGGCCCAAGCGACUGUUUAUCAAAAACACAGGUCUCUGCUAAACCGUAAGGUGAUGUAUAGGGGCUGACGCCUGCCCGGUGCUGGAAGGUUAAGAGGAGUGGUUAGCUUCUGCGAAGCUACGAAUCGAAGCCCCAGUAAACGGCGGCCGUAACUAUAACGGUCCUAAGGUAGCGAAAUUCCUUGUCGGGUAAGUUCCGACCCGCACGAAAGGCGUAACGAUUUGGGCACUGUCUCAACGAGAGACUCGGUGAAAUCAUAGUACCUGUGAAGAUGCAGGUUACCCGCGACAGGACGGAAAGACCCCGUGGAGCUUUACUGUAGCCUGAUAUUGAAAUUCGGCACAGCUUGUACAGGAUAGGUAGGAGCCUUUGAAACGUGAGCGCUAGCUUACGUGGAGGCGCUGGUGGGAUACUACCCUAGCUGUGUUGGCUUUCUAACCCGCACCACUUAUCGUGGUGGGAGACAGUGUCAGGCGGGCAGUUUGACUGGGGCGGUCGCCUCCUAAAAGGUAACGGAGGCGCUCAAAGGUUCCCUCAGAAUGGUUGGAAAUCAUUCAUAGAGUGUAAAGGCAUAAGGGAGCUUGACUGCGAGACCUACAAGUCGAGCAGGGUCGAAAGACGGACUUAGUGAUCCGGUGGUUCCGCAUGGAAGGGCCAU
rnacentral:rRNA from 1 species